ACAAACAUAUUUUUUUAUUCUUUCAGGAUUCUUCAUUUCCUGCCAUAAAAGGAUAGGGCCUCUGGUUUCAAUGAUAUUAUCUGCCCAAACCAAAUUAACACAGUGGAUGAAUAAUUCUCGAUUCCCAUAUUCUACAUGCAGACAAGAAGGAAGUGGGCAAGCUGGUGGUGACUUCUUCCAGAUGGCAUGUGGCAGCAGAUGGAGCCAAGUUUGUUAUCAGAAUGUGGAGUUGCUGCCAGCACCCAAGAAUGCACAGGAAUGCAUCUUAUAAUGCACAGAGCAGCCUCCUCCCCCAGCAAAAAAAUCACCUGGGCC
rnacentral:lncRNA from 1 species